rnacentral:rRNA from 1 species
AUGCUUUUCCUAAAGAUUAAGCCAUGCAUGCCUAAGACUAUGAGGAAGCAAUUCUCUCUGAAUCUGCGAACGGCUCCGCAAACCAGUUGUAAACCAUAGCAGUGUUCCGCCCGGCUUCAGCAGUGGGGUCGGGCAUUAUAUGGAUAACCGUGGUAAUUCUGAGGCUAAUACAUGACACACCAACUCGGCGGGCUGGGGCAACCCGGCUUGCUGGGGGACGUGCGAAUCAGCAAUGCUAUACGAACAUCGGGAAUGAACG